AGUGAACGCUGGCGGUAGGCCUAACACAUGCAAGUCGAACGGCAGCACAGUAAGAGCUUGCUCUUACGGGUGGCGAGUGGCGGACGGGUGAGGAAUACAUCGGAAUCUACUUUUUCGUGGGGGAUAACGUAGGGAAACUUACGCUAAUACCGCAUACGACAUACGGGUGAAAGCAGGGGAUCUUCGGACCUUGCGCGAUUGAAUGAGCCGAUGUCGGAUUAGCUAGUUGGCGGGGUAAAGGCACACCAAGGCGACGAACCGUAGCUGGUCUGAGAGGAUGAUCAACCAUGCUGGAACUGAGACACGGUCCAGACUCCUACGGGAGGCAGCAGUGGGGAAUAUUGGACGAUGGGCGCAAGCCUGAUCCAGCCAUACCGCGUGUGUGAAGAAGGCCUUCGGGUUUUAAAGCCCUUUUGUUGGGAAAGAAAAGCAGCAUGUUAAUACCCCGCUGUUCUGACGGUACCCAAAGAAUAAGCACCGGCUAACUUCGUG
rnacentral:rRNA from 1 species